rnacentral:rRNA from 1 species
GAUGAACGCUGGCGGCGUGCCUAAUACAUGCAAGUCGAGCGAACGGACAAGGAGCUUGCUUCUUUGAAGUUAGCGGCGGACGGGUGAGUAACACGUGGGUAACCUACCUAUAAGACUGGAAUAACUCCGGGAAACCGGGGCUAAUGCCGGAUAACAUGUUGAACCGCAUGGUUCAACAGUGAAAGACGGUCUUGCUGUCACUUAUAGAUGGACCCGCGCCGUAUUAGCUAGUUGGUGGGGUAACGGCCUACCAAGGCGACGAUACGUAGCCGACCUGAGAGGGUGAUCGGCCACACUGGAACUGAGACACGGUCCAGACUCCUACGGGAGGCAGCAGUAGGGAAUCUUCCGCAAUGGGCGAAAGCCUGACGGAGCAACGCCGCGUGAGUGAUGAAGGUCUUCGGAUCGUAAAGCUCUGUUGUUAGGGAAGAACAAAUGUGUAAGUAACUGUGCACGUCUUGACGGUA